GAUGAACGCUGGCGGCGUGCCUAAUACAUGCAAGUCGAGCGAACGGACGAGAAGCUUGCUUCUCUGAUGUUAGCGGCGGACGGGUGAGUAACACGUGGAUAACCUACCUAUAAGACUGGGAUAACUUCGGGAAACCGGAGCUAAUACCGGAUAAUAUUUUGAACCGCAUGGUUCAAAAGUGAAAGACGGUCUUGCUGUCACUUAUAGAUGGAUCCGCGCUGCAUUAGCUAGUUGGUAAGGUAACGGCUUACCAAGGCAACGAUGCAUAGCCGACCUGAGAGGGUGAUCGGCCACACUGGAACGGAGACACGGUCCAGACUCCUACGGGAGGCAGCAGUAGGGAAUCUUCCGCAAUGGGCGAAAGCCUGACGGAGCAACGCCGCGUGAGUGAUGAAGGUCUUCGGAUCGUAAAACUCUGUUAUUAGGGAAGAACAUUUGUGUAAGUAACUGUGCACAUCUUGACGGUACCUAAUCAGAAAGCCACGGCUAACUACGUG
rnacentral:rRNA from 1 species